rnacentral:rRNA from 1 species
AUGGCGGCGCCGUGGUGGGCGGCGGCGCUGGUGACGCUGGGCGUCGUGGGGUUGGCGGCGGGUCCCCGGGGUUGCGCCGCGCAGCCGGUGGUGCUGACCAGCUACGGCCAGCCCAAGCUCUCGCUCAGGCCCUACGACUGGACCUACCUCCGCGUUGACUUGCCGGCAUCAUUUUCUUCUAUCACCAUGAACUUUGCAACCGACAGAGAUAUUCCCAGGGAGCACUUAAAAGAUCUUCCGAAAAGUGAUCUUGCUAUCAUCUGUUUGAUGAUUGCCAACCCUCCUAUUCCUGAUACAUCUGAUUAUUAUUUGGACAAUUUAUUAUCAAACUUUCUUGCUGUUGGAUCUUUUGGCAAUACGAAUAACCAAUCAAAUCUGGCUCAGUGCAUACCAUUUCAGAAGAACACAACGAUAGUGUUAACAAAUGGCCAGAUAUUGCCAGGGAUUUGGUACAUUGGUUACUUUAAUGGCCUUGGACCUGCUCGCACACAAUCAAAGAUGAUUAGCCGAGGGAGAGCACUAUCAGUGAGCACUAGCAUUACGGUAGAAGGAUGUCCUACUUCAGCACUAUGGGGACCCUACUGCAACCAAACUAUUGAAACUAUUGGUUGUUCUCAGUUUUCAAGAUAUAACAACUCAAGAGAUCUUCUAGGUCUGACUAUCAACACCCGGAAAAUAUUGAAAACUAAAGAAAAUACUAGACGUACCAGCUUCUUAUCAAGGUCGAACCAUCCAAUAGGACAUCAACUCGAGUCCAAUGGUACUAGCGUAGUGGGAGUGGAGAAUUUGAUCACUUGUGCCAUUUCAAAUGACUCACUAUGCCUCAGGCAAGGCGAUAUAAAGUUUUACUUCUUGGAUAUAGUCAACCAAGCACUGCAAUUUGAAAUUACAGCUGCAAAUUUUAGAUUAUCCCAAAGUGCAUCCUUAAUCUGUUAUCUGCGCUGCAAUGCCUUACCUCAGAGAGAUUUGCACGAUUAUUCAGGUGAUAUUAGCAGUGCUCCCUUGGUUAUAAAGCUGCCAAAUAUUGGACGAUGGUAUAUCGCAAUUGAGAUUCUGAACAAAACACAGAUGAGAAAUACAACCGCACCUAUGCUGGAUACAAUUUGUUUCUCAUUUGAUUGGCAAGUAACUGGAUGUCUGAAUGGAAAAACUGGAACCGACUGCUCAUGGGAAGCAUAUGUGCUACAGAGAGUUCCUAAAAGAAAUCCUUCUGUUCCUUUUGAGUCAUAUUAUGUUCCUACUGAUGAGGGGGCAUUGCUGGAAUAUAGUCACUUCUCGCUCGAAAAGUUCUUAACCAACUCAUCCUUUGAGCAAUUUGCAUGGACUUAUUUCUUUUUGGAUGUUCCCCAAGGUUCAGCAGGUGCACUUAUUCAUGUCCAGCUAAAGUCAGAUAAAGAAUUGAAUUAUGAGCUGUACUCAAAAUAUGGUGGUCUACCAUCAAAUGAUAGUUGGGAUUAUUACGCAAGCAGGACAAGCAGCAGUAACGGUUCAGUAUUCUAUUCGCUACAGAAUUCCACGGAUUCAGACAUGGAUCUAUCUAUUUUCUAUGCCAAGGAGGGAACUUGGUGCUUCGGAGUCAAGCAUCCAAAUUAUACUUCAAAUUCUCAGACAUAUAUGUCUAUAUCUCUUCAGGGAUGCCAUAGAAAUUGUAAUCAGAAAGGUGUUUGUCAUGCUUCAGUUGAUGAAAGCGGGUUAACAUUCUACAGCUUCUGCACUUGUGAUCGUGAUCAUGGUGGGUUCGAUUGCAGUGAUGAAUUAGUUUCACCUAAUGGGCACAUCAGGCAGUCUGUCUUUCUAAUCGCAUCAAAUGCUGCAGCAAUUUUACCUGCCUUCUGGGCCCUCCGGCAAAAGGCGUUUGCCGAAUGGAUUCUUUACACGUCUAGUGGAAUUUCUAGUGCUUUGUACCAUUCAUGUGAUGUGGGCACCUGGUGCAUACUAUCUUUUCGUGUAUUACAGUUUUUGGACUUCUGGCUUUCAUUCAUGGCUGUUGUUGGUACAUUCAUAUAUAUGGCUACAAUUAAAGAAGCUUCAAAGCGAGCAAUGCAUACUGCUGUGUUUAUUCUGACAGCUAUUUUAGCUGCAACUGGUGCCACCAGAUCUGCCAAUAUUGGUAUCGUCGUUGCUAUUGGUUCAUUUGGCCUGCUUAUUGGAUGGAUAUUGGAAUUCUCUACCGCACGAAGAUUUGUAUGCUGCUCGUGGCGAAUUAACCUCAAUGUGCCCCAUAGAUGGCCAAACCUCGCGGCUUUGUUCUGGAAUACUCUGGAGAUGCUGAACAAGCGGUUCCGUUGGCUGUAUUUACUUUUUGGUUUCAUCACAUUAUCUUUUGCAGCUUUAAGCUGGAAGCUAGAAUCAAAUAGUAGCUAUUGGAUUUGGCACAGUAUGUGGCACAUAACUAUCUACACAUCUUCAUUCUUCUUCUUAUGUUCAAUGCGUGUCAACACUACGAAUCAUAGUCCGGAGACAACCUAUGAGUUGACAAGGCAAGAUACCUUGCCAACGACAGAGUCAAGUCAGACCUAA